CCUACGGGAGGCAGCAGUGAGGAAUAUUGGUCAAUGGACGAGAGUCUGAACCAGCCAAGUAGCGUGAAGGAUGACUGCCCUAUGGGUUGUAAACUUCUUUUAUAUGGGAAUAAAAUGUUCCACGUGUGGGAUUUUGUAUGUACCAUAUGAAUAAGGAUCGGCUAACUCCGUGCCAGCAGCCGCGGUAAUACGGAGGAUCCGAGCGUUAUCCGGAUUUAUUGGGUUUAAAGGGAGCGUAGGUGGAUUGUUAAGUCAGUUGUGAAAGUUUGCGGCUCAACCGUAAAAUUGCAGUUGAAACUGGCAGUCUUGAGUACAGUAGAAGUGGGCGGAAUUCGUGGUGUAGCGGUGAAAUGCUUAGAUAUCACGAAGAACUCCGAUUGCGAAGGCAGCUCACUGGACUGCAACUGACACUGAGGCUCGAAAGUGUGGGUAUCGAACAGGAUUAGAUACCCCAGUAGUC
rnacentral:rRNA from 1 species